ACACGUAGGGGGCAAGCGUUGUCCGGAAUUACUGGGCGUAAAGGGCGUGUAGGCGGCCGAUCAAGUCAGGUGUGAAAUUUCAGGGCUCAACCCUGAGCGUGCACUUGAAACUGGUAGGCUUGAGUGCAGAAGAGGAAAGUGGAAUUCCCAGUGUAGCGGUGAAAUGCGUAGAUAUUGGGAGGAACACCAGUGGCGAAGGCGACUUUCUGGUCUGCAACUGACGCUGAGGCGCGAAAGCUAGGGGAGCAAACAGGAUUAGAUACCCUGGUAGUCCUAGCCGUAAACGAUGGGUACUAGGUGUAGGGGGUUUAGACGCCCUCUGUGCCGCAGUUAACACAUUAAGUACCCCGCCUGGGGAGUACGGCCGCAAGGCUGAAACUCAAAGGAAUUGACGGGG
rnacentral:rRNA from 1 species